UACUACUAUUGCUCUGAAGUCCAUCUUCAAUAAGUAAUGGCCAUUCUUCCCAAAUAUAUACAAGAUCUAUUUUUCCAUUCUUUGAUGUGGCAGAUUCUCCAUCUGUUACUCUGCAUCUCCAAAAUCUUACUUUCUCAUCUGAGCAUGAAGUUGCCAAUAAAUAAGGAGCACUGCAUACAGGAUAUAUGGAAGAAGAACUCAGAU
rnacentral:lncRNA from 1 species